AUGGGUUUGAAACGAAAACAAACGAUGAACAUUCGUUAAUCUCUCAACUCGUCUGCAUAUCAUAAUUUUAUUUCAGCAAAUGUUUGUUUUAUGCAAAUAUAUUUCGGAGAAGUCUCUAACAAGUGUAUCCGUUGAUGGAUGGACACACAAACGCCUCCGCACCAGCGAAAACAAAUUGAGUCGACGAACAUGUAUCCGAACAGAUUUAUUUUAUUUAUUGGUCCCCAUUCAUAAACAUCUUUUGCCCACGAAACUGGUCAUCGUCGACUUUGGGCUGGUCAGUGCAGCGUCCACUCAUCGAGUGGCUCAUUCGGCCGCUCAUUCUGUGGCGUUUCAAUUAGCACUUUCAUAACUUUAACCACCUCGUCAAGUGGAAGACAACCCGGUCAAAAGCCGUCACUGUAGCUGCCACUGCCACUGGGGCUUGUUAUUGCAUUCUAUUUUCAAUUUGUUGACACACCAAGUGCCACCGCUGAGUGUGUGAAUGUUGUGUGUGCCGGUUGCAGUGACCCACUUUUCCACCACUAAGUAAAUGACUUGAAAUGCCGCGGGCUUAUCCGCUAACUGUUUUAAAGGGUCUGUUAGGGUUAUAAUUAGAACAACUGUCUUGUGAGGGUCUUAAAUAAUUUAUGUUUGGUAUAUGGGAUAAGAUACUCAAACAAAUUGAACUUGACUUUUUAAAAAAAAAAAGGUCCUUGUAUAAAGUUUUAAUUUCGAUAUUAUGACUAGGUCUAUUAUAUUAUUAAAAAAUAGUUUAAAUAUUUGUUUAUUUGUAUUUCUUAUUGUAUUUCAACGUAAAAAAUGCUUUUACCUUCCAACGAAUCUAGUUACGGGUAUAAUAAAUAUUUUUACAACAGCUACUAAAAGCCCGACAUUGCCAAGUGAGAGUAAAUAAGAUCUAAUGAUAAGCCGAAAUUUAAUUAAAAGUUGGACCGUACCAUGUCUUUCACCUUUGACAUACCACUACACAAAAUUAAAUGAUCUAUCAUUUUAAAAGUUUUAGCGGUGGAAUACCGGUUUCAAUUACACUCUCCUAGCAAUUAUAAGCCAGAUUGUGUCAUUUUAAUUGAGCCAUUUCAGCGUGCGGCUAAUUCAACGCCGCCCCUUUCAAUUCCCAAAGACCAUCGCACCAUGUGCACACGUAUGCACACCGAUAAUCAUAUAUAAUUCUUGUAAAAUAAUUCAUGACCACGAAAGCAAACAAAUUAAAGGAGGGAAAGCAAAAAAAGAGUUAAAGUAGCAAGCGCACGCCUGCCCAACUGGAUUGACAGCUUCGCCAGACAGGCCGGAGUUGCUGGCUGGGCUCAGCCACCAACCACUGGUGGCUUGUGCCUCUUGGCUUUUCUUGGCCAACGGCAACCGACAACGAAUUCCUCACUGGUGACGACUUGACAUUCAUUAUGGGCCCGAUACACGGAAAAAUAUUUUAAAAUAAAAUGCGAAUAAACUAAUUGGGAGUUCUUGAAAACGGAUGCGUGUGUCUUGAGUAAUGGGUAGUAUAAUGCCAGAUUCGAAAUGCAUGUAAUAAUUAAAAGUAAUUCCAGCGUUGGAAUUUUAUUAACCAACUGGAUACGAAUAAUAUACCCAUGCCUUCAAAUUCUGAUCCUAGACAUAUGAUGAACAGAAACUUAAAACCUCUUUUAAUACAACUUGGGUAAUACAUAUUUAUGUUGGUAUUAAAAAAUGUUGUAUAGGAACACGAAGUUUUUUUAAUUUCUUUCCGAUUACCGCAGUUUUUGUUCAGUGUACCGAUCUUGCUAAUGCUCAGAAGCCGUACCUGCUGGCUCCGCAGUCAAAUUAUUUACUUCACUUCUGGUUUGUUUGCACGACCUGUUGACGCGAUGACGAGAGAGUUGCCGGUAGAUAGGGACCUUCAAUUCACCGCCGAUCCACGAUUCUGUCAACAUUAUUACAACUCGACAUCGCUUUAAGUGGCUAAUAAAAAGAGAGACAGCACCCACACACAAGUAGGCGCAGGGAAAAUGUUUGCGAGUGGGCUGAAUUUGACUGAUUUAUGACCCACUUCGAAUGCAGUCGGUUGUGGGAGCCCAGACGACAUUCAAAUGUCGCGGAAAAUGAUGAAGGGGAAAUCGACCGACCUUGAUCUUGAACUUGGGCGCGUCGGCAAUAAUUCGAGUUUAGAUAUUACGACAUCCGCGCAGCUGAAAAUGCUUUAUUAAUCGGAUUGUAUCAACCAAAAUUCGGGGAAGCGGAGACACAAAAUUAUUUCAAAACAUGGGAAUCAAUCAGAAGCCAGCUGAGAGAGCCAAAAAGUAUAAAAAUGUUAUUUAUGCUUUUUAAAGGCAGAAUCUGUCAAGUCCGAACCUUUUUCAUAGCCUUGUCCCCAGCCAUUCGAGGUUAGGAAUAAGCUCAUCAGCACUUUUGGGUGCCUUUACAUAUCCAAGGGAGUACCAUAGCCUAUGAGAACGAGUAUCGUACCCAGAAAACAAAAAAAAGAACACACGUGUGGUUCCAAUCUCAAAAAGAAGCUGAUAAAUGAGCAAGGGGCGUGCGAUUGCUUUUGAAGGGGUAUUCCUCUACUUGAGAGCCGAAUUUACAUUUAUGACGUGCUAUUUUCGGUGUUUGGCGCUGGGAAUUAGCAUAAAUUAUGGACUUCCACGAAGUGUUUAUGCCUAUGCGAUGAUAUAUGAUAUGUAAUUUAGUCGUAAUUAGAAUCGCAUCACAAACAGCGCUGAAAAUUUAAAAACUGCGAACCAAAAUGAUUGCCUAUAAUUGAGAUCUCUUGAGUAGAUCAUCACCCACUCGCAAAACUCGCCAACCAUCAAUCAAAUUCCCCAAACACGAAUUCGAGUUAAAAAGCAAAAGUUGAAUGGCUCCCCGCCAAUGGCAAAAAAGGAAACACAUCUUUUGGACUUAACCUCUUCAUGUCGGGUUCAAUGCAAACGGCUGCCAAAUAAAUUUUAAAAGCUUAGAAAUCGGCAUUCGGUUGGGUAAGAAGUGGACAAAUUGGUGGCAUAAAUCUUGGCCGUGUCAUAUCUACAACGUUGGGGGAGUUCCUGGCCAGCAGAUGUCGUAAUUAAUUACCGGGGAUUCAACCCGUUCUUGGCAUAAUUAAGUUGCCAAACGCAUUUGCAUAGAUUCUGUUAGCUCGGCGACCAAGUAAACAAACACUAAAAAUCGAUAGCGAAUUGCUCGCUAAAAUACCAGUUUGCGGCUUAAUGAAAGGUAAAUGUUUUUGUGCGGUUAAUUUGUAGCUAUAGGAAGUUAAACAUUUAUAAAAACAACGAAUGGUUUUCUUUUCGAUUGUGAUUCGCCCCAGCUUAAUUAAUUUAUGCGCAUUUCAUUGAUUUAAAUGCAAUCACAACGUGCGCCACACUAAGUAGUUCAAAUUCAGUUGCAAACCGGGCGUAAAUUGUGGCAAUAAAUUGAACUGCAGCAUUUCAACUCUUCGGCUAUGGGAUAAAUGAGGAAAAUCGAAAAUCGUCGACGGCCAAUAUAAUUUAUACGCAUCUCUACCAGAUUCCACUCAAUCACUUGCUGUCCCGUCUCCCUCGAUGUCAGCAAAUAGUAGCCGAGAAACGUUUUCACAGCUGCCAUUUCUGCCAUUCCUAAAGCUUCUACCAUUUUCUACGAUUUUUUCGCCCUUGAAAAUAUCUACCUGUGUGCAAUUGCCUGCAUUUUCAUGCUUCACCUGUGCAGAAUCUCCGGUGAGGAGCCACCACGUAGUGGUUGUGGUGGCUGGAUGUGCUAUCUCCGCAUCUGUCAAGCCUUCUGACUGAAGUUUACUUUCUUUAUUUAGCUCUCAACUUUGUCCUCUUGGAAUUUCAAAGCUGUUCACUGAUACACAUCUCAACACCGAGCUAAACGUACACGCAGACAAAUUAUGGAUGCAUAUGUAACAAAAAGCUGCUCUAAAUAUAAGUAUUGCAACUCUAAAUGUAGUAUAUUGUAGGUUUAGUUUGUUAUAUUUUCGGAAGAAAUAAAUUCUUUUUUGCUAAAAGUUGAAUUUCACAUUUCUCUUUCUCUAAUUCCUGGCUAAGCUUCACUCUCGAGCCGGAAAAGUGAAAGUCAUUUAGUUGCUGACAAGUCAUUGUGUCUAGUAUUGUGUGUUUGCUGCUUUGACAGGACGAUGGCGCUGCAGGGCAACGCAGCAUUAGUGGUCCCACACGGCGUAUGCGCGAUAUCAAGUAUACGUAGUGUGCCAGACCAUCAUGAGGCUGCACUUUUCAGUUGAAUUCGAGUGCAUUUAAAGUUUGGACUGUGUUUUUGUGCUGCUGCGGGCCAAGUUGAAAUUAAUUUAGAGUUUCGUCGACGAAAAAAGAUUUAAUUGAGUUUAGUUGAAUUUUAAAUGGAUUCCUUCCGGUCGAUGUUCAACCUAAUGAAGCAAAUGGAGAACAUUCUUUAUUUUAUUUCUGUCUGGGUCGGGUGAGCAAUUUAAAUGAAACCCUUAAAUCCCGCGUUUCUAGAGUUUGAAGCCAUAAAUUCAAACUCCAUACUUUAAGCAAAAGCAAUUCGUCAGAACUCAUCACAAAUCAACUUGGAUGCAGCUUAAAAUCCAAAGACCGACCUAUCAAUCAUUUCUACCUGCUUGCUAAAAGGUGUGCGCACCUUUUGAGGUCCUACUCAAAAAUAAUAUGACAUAACUCAGCCGAGAGCUCUUGGGUCCCCCAGUAAAUAAUCGGCCACGGCAAUCGCUUCAAGUUUGCCUUUGACUUGCCGCAUGUAACCGCAAUUCCGAUAUUUUCCAACCACUCAGAUUUUAUAUGUGUGCAUGUAUGUCCAUGCCGAAUUGGAAGACAACGUCAUCGACCAAAUAAACUUGGAGAUUUGCAUUGGGCGCAGGCGCCAGCGGCUACGUCAGCAUUUAAAACACGUACUCGGCCGGCAAUUGGAACUCAGGCAGUAGACUGAAGUGAUGUCAUGCCGCUCAAAUUUAUUGUAAUUCACUAGAUGUCGGGGUGUCCCAGCCUAGCUGACACUAUCAGUUCGUACACUCGAAGAAAAUAUAAUGGCUUUUUUUGGCACACGAAGGCAAUCUAUUUUUGUUCUAAUGAAGUUAUACAUUUUGAAGAAAAGUGGAAGAAAAGAAAAUGUGACGAAUUAAUUAUUGGUAACUUAAAGUUGACUUGAAAGCAAUGUCACUAAAAGUGAUAAACAAAGAUUAUUUCAUUUAAAUAUUGUUUUAUGUUGUUUAUAACAUGUAGUGUAUUAAAAUACUGACCUAAUAAUUAUAAAUUGGUUAUUGGUUAUAAUGAUUUGUAUUAUAGUUAUAUAAUUCAUUAGUCUCGAAAUAAAAACAGAACUUAAUAGACGAUUAUUGUUGGAGUGCGCAUAUAGUUCCAAUCCAGCGAUGAUGUAAAUUCUGCUAAAUCGAUCACCUCUUUUAAGAUCGUGUUUUCCACGAUAUGCUUGUUUGUGUGCCCCUUCAUUGACAUAAAAAUGUCACUUGUAGAAUUUUUGUUUAGCGCUUUUUCACGCCAUGUCAUCCGAACCGUACAAAUAUUUUCUAUUAAUUGUUUUCAAGUUCAACCCCUCAAAUGCGAACAAGCGAAAAAAUGCGAGUGAGCUAAUAUUUGUGGAAAUUAAGGCUGACAAAACAAAGAAAUUUUGCGGAACUUUGCUUUCAGAGUUGUUGCUACUGUAUCUGGUUUGGGGUUUAUUGUUUUGGCGAUGUUAUCCGAGCGUCCGGGAAGCAAGUUGACCAUUUAGGUGCCCAUUGUUGUCCGUGCCUCUCGUCUUUCUAGUACAUUGGACCCCAAUUCCCCCAAAACCCCCCUCAUCUGCCUCAGUUGACUCUUGUUUGCAGCACUUCGGCUGGGAGCCCACAAAUUUGUCGACGCGUGUCGUAACACACACUUGACACUGCCUCCUACGCACUUCCCCUGGAUUCCCUCUCCUCCUCAUUCAUGGCUGUGUAAUUGCCUUUAAUGCAGGCACACUCAGAGAAAAAAGGGUAUUUUGGCAUAGCUCGAAAUCCUAUUGCUACUAUUGUGUUAUUGAACAAAAUUCUUCCAAGCAUUGUUUCUUAAGACAACAAUAUAAUGCAAAAUUGAUUAAAAUUCAAAAUCAUUUCUUGUGUUUUUUCUGUAUGUGCAUGACCUGCCCCAGCUUUUUGUUAUCGACGCUCGCAUUUCUGUGCCAAGUUAGUUUCCAGUUCGGCUGGCCAAAAUUCCAGCAGGACCUAGGUCCUGGUGCGGCUCUUGGAUUGGGUGCAAACUUGGUUUCGGUUAUGCUUCUGGUCCUCUGGUUCCUGGACCUGCUUGUUCUUUCUGUUCUUGGCGUUCGUGUCAACGAUAAAUCAAAAGUUUUAUCUUGUUUGUUAGCCACCACCCACAUCUCGCAUUCACAUGAGUUGCCUUGAAAUCACUUUCAGGCUGAAAAAUGUGUUGCUUCGCUUUUCGUUUUUGUGCGUGUGCUGCAGAAAAUUUCAGAUUUCUCGCAGAUUGGGUUUAUGGCUCGGCUAAUGCUGGACCCAUCACGUAUACGCAGUGUUGACAAUGGCAGACCAAGUGGGUAUUUUCCCGCCUAUUUACUAAAAUGUUGAAGUUCCACAGGACAUGGUUUCUUUUCACAAGUCAGGAGGCAGGACAUGCAUGCAAAAUGAUUUCCGUUUGACUGUAAUUUAUAGGCAGCCGGUCUGCUGCACUCGUUGCUCACCAUUCAACCUCUACAGUAACUCCCCCAGAACUACCAUAAAAUACCCCCAAAAGCUCCCAUUUAACCAUCAUCCCUGGCAUCCUGGCCAGCUGCUGCAUCAUCAUAUCCCAUCCCAUUCUACGGAUGCCUUUUGUUGACUUUACGGCUAUGCAAAGUCUGGCAUAUUUAUAGAUUGAGUGGCAGCGUGGGCGAACAGUGGGCGGACAGGGGGCGUGGCAUUAGCUUUUUUUUACUAAUGGCCCGGCAGAUGAUGAUGCUCUCGACACCACUUGGCCAGCCGCUUUCGUCGUUUUUUAAUCUAUAUUUAAAUUUAUCCAGCACGAAAUGUCAAGGCGAACCAUUUAGAAUCGCCACAAAAAUCACAAAUCAAACUUGAUAUCUGAAAAUCAAAUUACGUUCUCAUAGGCAACGCAGCGUAUAUGGUCAAAUGCGAAAAUAAUAAGUAAAUACAGAAAACUUUGACAUAGCAAA